GAUGAAGAACGUAGCGAAACGCGAUAUGUAAUGUGAAUUGCAGAAUUCAGUGAAUCAUCGAAUCUUUGAACGCACAUUGCGCCCGCCAGUAUUCUGGCGGGCAUGCCUGUUCGAGCGUCAUUUCAACCCUCAGGCCCCCAGUGCCUGGUGUUGGGGAUCGGCCCAGCCUUCCUGUAAGGCCGCCGGCCCCGAAAUCUAGUGGCGGUCUCGCUGUAGUCCUCCUCUGCGUAGUAGCACAACCUCGCAGUUGGAACGCGGCGGUGGCCAUGCCGUUAAACACCCCACUUCUGAAAGUUGACCUCGGAUCAGGUAGGAAUACCCGCUGAACUUAAGCAUAUCAAUAAGCGGAGGA
rnacentral:misc_RNA from 1 species